rnacentral:rRNA from 1 species
ACGAACGCUGGCGGCGUGCUUAACACCUGCCAGUCGAACGGAAAGGCCCUGCUUUUGUGGGGUGCUCGAGUGGCGAACGGGUGAGUAACACGUGAGUAACCUGCCCUUGACUUUGGGAUAACUUCAGGAAACUGGGGCUAAUACCGGAUAGGAGCUCCUGCUGCAUGGUGGGGGUUGGAAAGUUUCGGCGGUUGGGGAUGGACUCGCGGCUUAUCAGCUUGUUGGUGGGGUAGUGGCUUACCAAGGCUUUGACGGGUAGCCGGCCUGAGAGGGUGACCGGCCACAUUGGGACUGAGAUACGGCCCAGACUCCUACGGGAGGCAGCAGUGGGGAAUAUUGCACAAUGGGCGGAAGCCAGAUGCAGCAACGCCGCGUGCGGGAUGACGGCCUUCGGGUUGUAAACCGCUUUCGCCUGUGACGAAGCGUGAGUGACGGUAAUGGGUAAAGAAGCACCGGCUAACUACGUG